AACAACAACAACAACAACAACAAUCAGUAACUGUGCUAGUUGCUCAUAGCGAGUCUAACAUUCUCCCAGCUACAUAUAUACCCAUAUUUAAUUUGCAAAGUCAGCGAA